GACGAACGCUGGCGGCGUGCUUAACACAUGCAAGUCGAACGGUGAUCCAGGUGCUUGCAUCUGGUGAUCAGUGGCGAACGGGUGAGUAACACGUGAGUAACCUGCCCUUCACUCUGGGAUAACUCCGGGAAACCGGGGCUAAUACCGGAUAUGACACUGACCCGCAUGGGUAUGGUGUGGAAAGUUUUUUCGGUGGAGGAUGGACUCGCGGCCUAUCAGCUUGUUGGUGAGGAAUGGCUCACCAAGGCGACGACGGGUAGCCGGCCUGAGAGGGCGACCGGCCACACUGGGACUGAGACACGGCCCAGACUCCUACGGGAGGCAGCAGUGGGGAAUAUUGCACAAUGGGCGAAAGCCUGAUGCAGCGACGCCGCGUGAGGGAUUAAGGCCU
rnacentral:rRNA from 1 species